UGGAAAAUAAUUAAUCAGACUUAACAGUCAAAAAAUUACCUUUUCAUAAUUUAUCUUUUGUAGAAACAAAGAGUGGAGAGCUAAUGCAUGGUGCUAAGUAUGGAAAUGUCUCUUGUGGAUUGGUUGUGCCAGAGACAAAUGUACAUUAUUUCUAUGUUGGGUCAGAAGUCUCGGUACACUUUGGGUGAGUGGCAGUUGGGAAGAUGGAAGACCUUCAGAUAGUUUGAGAUGAAGAAGUUUUUUUAAAUGAUUGAAAGUGAUCAUCAUAGAAUCAACUCUAUUAUGAAGAUAAAUUACGAGCAAGUCAGCACUCCUUUUGUCCAACACCCAAGAAAUCUGAGUAUCCAUCCUACUGUUGAAUUAACUGGUGACCAAGAAAAGAUGACAGAGAGGGGAAUCAAAUAUGGAUGCCAUUGUGAUCAAACAUAUACACACAGACUAGAAAAUAUCUGAAAAUUUAUAGAUGAACAUUCAAGCAUUUAUAAUAAUGAAAGUUAUUCAGCAAGAGAGUUUUUGCACAAGUUUAAUUUCAGUAAAAUUGUGUAUAUUGUGCACAGAGGAACUUAGUAUGUAACUCAUUAUGAUUAUCCAUUUCUUUAGAGGAUGUAUUCGGAGUAUAUUUAAAUAAUCAUUAUCUUGUAGAAAAGAGCACACAAAAAUUUUCUCUCUGUGUGAAGCAAGACACAAAUGCAUACACUCAAGCAUUAACCACAACCACUGUUACAUAUUUUCCAGGGCAUGUGAAGUCGAGCACACACAACAUCUACCACAACACCAGUUACAUAUUUUCCAAGGCGUGUGAAGUCGAGCACAUACAUGAAAAUGUGUGAAGCUGGACACAUAUGCAAAAGCACAAGCAUCUACCACAACCAAUUACAUAUUUUCCAAGGCGUGUGAAGUCGAGCACAUACAUGAAAAUGUGUGAAGCUGGACACAUAUGCAAACAUACAAGCAUCUACCACAACCAAUUACAUAUUUUCCAAGGCGUGUGAAGUUGAGCACAUACAUGAAAAUGUGUGAAGCUGGACACAUAUGCAAACAUACAACAUCUACCACAACACCAGUUACAUAUCUUCCAAGGCGUGUGAAGUCGAGCACAUACAUGAAAAUGUGUGAAGCUGGACACAUAUGCCAACACACAAGCAUCUACCACAACCAAUUACAUAUUUUCCAAGGCGUGUGAAGUCGAGCACAUACAUGAAAAUGUGUGAAGCUGGACACAUAUGCCAACACACAAGCAUCUACCACAACCAAUUACAUAUUUUCCAAGGCGUGUGAAGUCGAGCACAUACAUGUACAUGAAAAUGUGUGAAGCUGGACACAAGCAUCUACCACAACCAAUUACAUAUUUUCCAAGGCGUGUGAAGUCGAGCACAUACAUGAAAAUGUGUGAAGCUGGACACAUAUGCAAACAUAACAACAUGUAC